AUUGAACGCUGGCGGCAGGCCUAACACAUGCAAGUCGAACGAGUGGCGGACGGGUGAGUAAUGUCUGGGAAACGGCCUGAUGGAGGGGGAUAACCACUGGAAACGGUUGCUAAUACCGCAUACCCUCAGAUGUGCCCAUAUGGGAUUAGCUGGUUGGUGGGGUAACGGCGCACCAAGGCGACGAUCCCUAGCUGGGCAGUGAGGCUGACCAGCCACACUGGAACUUAGACACGGUCCAGCCUCCUACGAGAGGCAGCAGUGGGGAAUAUUGCACAAUGGGCGCAAGCCUGAUGCAGCCAUGCCGCGUCGAUGAAGAGGGCCUUCGGGUUUUAAAGUACUUUCAGCGGGGAGGCGUUACCCGCAGAAGAAGCGCCGGCUAACUCCGUGCCAGCAGCCGCGGUAAUAC
rnacentral:rRNA from 1 species